rnacentral:RNase_P_RNA from 1 species
AAAGGGCGGUCGGCGGCCGCCGGAGGUGGUCGAGCCUCCGGAGGAAAGUCCGGGCUCCGCAGGGCAGGGCGCCGGGUAACACCCGGAGGGGGUAACCCCUGGAAAGUGCCACAGAAAACAGACCGCCCCGGGUUCUUCCGGGGUAAGGGUGAAACGGUGGGGUAAGAGCCCACCGCUCCCUCCCGCAAGGGAGGGAGGCACGGCAAACCCCGCCCGGAGAAAGGCCGCAUAGGGGGGCGCUUGAGGGUGGCCCGCCCGAUGCCCCCGGGUAGGCCGCUUGAGUGGCCGGGUAACCGGCCGCCCAGAGGAAUGGCCGCCACCCCGCAGGGGCGAAAGCCCCGCGGGGCUACAGAACCCGGCUUAUGACCGCCCUUUCCCC